CAGGUGCUGUAGGAAGAUACGUGGCAUGUUGGUACUCUAGUCAGAAAAACAGACUCAACUGACAACUUUCUUAUUCUAGGCCCAAAGUGGACUCAUUUGCAGGCACCCUCUUUAGGGGACAAAGGCUACCAGAGCCACUGGUGCCAGGCUGCAUCUACCCAGAGAAACAGGCAUUUUUCUAUUUGCACAAAGGCUGCCCAGAAGAUUUGUUUCUGCAGAGCAUAUGUGAAUGAGGGGGAAGGGGCAGAGAGGAAAGACAAUCCUGAGGAGGAUCCACUCUUACAGCCCAGGUGAUGUGGGGCUCGAACUCACCAACCGUGAGUUCAUGACCUGAGCUGAAACAGAGAGUCCGAUGCUUAACCGACAGCCACCCAGGGGUCCCAGUCCAUAAAUAUUUUCUGUGGACCCUGGGAUUUGGGAACUCUCAGCAUUCAAGGUUUGGUCCUAUUAUAGGAGCAGGUAGGAGUUUUCUUUGGGACCCAUUUGUAUAGUGGGAAUAGCAUAGGGAAGUUCUAGCUUUGUUUGAUACUGGUUGGAAAGGAGAGAGGAAUCAUUCUGGUUUUCUUCCACCCAACACCCUUGCCCAGGACCCAGCCUGGAUAGUGUACAAAUCCAACGUGGCUUCUGGACAACAACAAAAUUUCUAAUACUAGAUACCUUAUAAGGAUCCUAGUUUAACUUUCCCCCAGAGGACAUAAUUUAACACUAAAUUUUUACCCAAAUAAAGUUCAAAACCGUAAUUAACAAAAGUAUCAGAAUAUUUAAAUUACUGUAUUUAUCCUAAAGUAACAACCCUGUAUUUUUUGGAGGAGCGUUUUGGAUGAUGAUAUUUUGUAUCUCCAUCUUUUAACUUUUCUUUAAUAGGCCCCAGACCUUCAUGCUGCUCUCUGCCACCUUUCUCCCAUCAAAAUUUGUAUUUUAUGUGACAGAAUUGUGGUCCCUAAAGAUGAUGUUUAACUCUGAAAAUGUGUCUUCCACAAUGGUGUCUGUGGUGGUUUCUAUUAAGAAUGGGAAGGACAAAGGUCAUCUUUCCUCCCCGAAAACUUUACCCUUCCCACUUCACUUUCCAAGAGGAAUGUUCUCAGUGUCUCCUUACCAUGGAGCAGGUCUUUGGCUCCCAGUGAGCAAAGGCUGGAUGUUGGCCCUCCAGGGGUACUGUUCUCGGUUAUUGCUGCUGGGUUCUUGGCUCGCUUCUUGCACUCAAACACAACCAGAUCUUUGCAUUGUUUGUGGCAGUUCAUCCCGCAGUCUGUGGACAAGACAGGCUAGUCAGGAAGGCUUUGGCUUUCUUUUCCAGAGUCUCAAAACCACACUCAUGCAGGGCUGUCUUGUCACACAUGCCUGUCCUAGUCUGGAGCUAGGACACCUGCUAUUCCUAAUGAACCUAGUAGUUGUAUUUGGUCAACUCUGGAUCUUACCAUCUUGCUAUAGCCCUUAUCAUGAGUCUCAAGCAGCAUCCACUGUCUUGGAGACAAGUCAUGUCCUAGUCAUCCUGCAUAUACUGCCUACCUUAAGGAGACCCCCUAAAGGCUCCCAGCUCUUAGGUCUUACUCUUUCUUCCUUGCAGUAAAAGUCUCCUGUCCACUCCUGAAUUUUUCUAGUCAUAAGGAAGGACAAUUAGGCCCUGAGGUACCUACUGAUAAAAGGAAAACUGGCAAGGCCCUUUGGUAAUCACUUCCAUUCCCAAAGUGCCUUUCCUUAGGGACCCACCUUUUCAUGGCCAUAUGAAAGCCUCUCCUACCAGCGAUCUCUGUUUCCAGAACAACCCACACAGAGAGAGGACUUUGCAAGGGGAAGCUUUAUAACCGGUCACCCAGGCAUUCCUCUUCUCUGUGGUGGCAGUCACUCUCAGUGGGUGCUCUAGGGAAGCCAGUUUGGGGAUGAGGCUGUAAGCUGCACUGAGAAGUUGUGGAUUCAAUGGACAACUACUAUCGGUAAAAAAUGCUUUAUUAGGAGAGCGUCAAACACCAGAAAAAGCAAGACAAUCCACAAAACUGAGCCUUACCUUUACAUCGGUAUCCUUGUUUGAUCACUCCCCAGAGCUAUGAGACAAGAUAGGAGACAGUUAGAGCACACUAUACAUCCUUCAUCAAUCUGGUAUUAGGCGAGACAUUGAUACCCAUUCUUUAUUUUCCCUCAUUGUGCUCUCUUCCUCAAGGAAGGAAAGCCUUGUUUAUCUCCUGUCUUAACCCUCCUGACCUUAAACUGCAAACACGAAGAUUUUGUGAUCACAGUCUCAUGCUCUCAAGAAGCUCAGUAGUGUGGACUUAUGGCCUAGGCCUUCUUUUUUUUAAUUUUUUUUAAUGUUUAUUUCUGAAGGAAAGAGAGACUGAGCAUGAGUGGGGGAAGAGCAGAGAGAGGGAAACACAGAAUCUGAAGCAGGCUCUGAGCUGUCAGCACCGAGCCCUAUGAGGGGCUCAAACUCACAAACUGUGAGAUCAUGACCUGAGCCGAAGUCGAACGCUUAACAGCCUGAGCUACCCAGGCACCUCUAUGGUCUAGGCCUUCUUGAGGCUUGAAGUAGAUGAAUCAAAGAAUAAACAGGUUUCUCAGAACUCCAAACUAAAGAACAGUAUACAGAAUUCUGUGGUCAGGGAUUAGGUUGGACAGGGCUGGGACAGAGGAGGGGCAGAGCUACAUGGCUUCUUAACAGCAGUUUCUUUUGAAGGGGGAAGAGCAGGGAUGUCUCCUAUUUUUUUUUUUUUCUAACAUUGGAAACAGCAUCUGAAUAUAAUUACUUAAAAAGUAUGUCCCAAAUAUAACAUUUCCUUACCAUUUGUCCCAAGCCUCAUGCACCAGAGGUAAAAACAAUAUCCGGAAGAAAUGGUAACAUUAAAUUCAAGUUAACCAUGCAUCAAACCAUUUGAGAACAAGGUUAUUAGAGCUUAGGCUCUAAGCUGGCAUAGUUGAUAAGGGUUAUGAGGUCUGUGCCUGGCCUAAAGCUCAUUCAUACCGUCUCAUACCCCUCUUCAAGUUCGACCUGAAGCACUCUAGGAACAACUUACAAAUCCAGCACAGUUGUCACAGAAAGUAGGUUUCAGGUAGGUGGUCUCUUGGAAGUUGUGAGGAAAGCCCAGGCCCAGCUUGGAGUAGAUGGAGCUGGCUCUCAUGAAGUAGGCCGUUAUCUCCUCUCUGCUGAUGAGGCCUUCCCUGCCAGCGAGCGACAGACCAGGUGUGAGUAGGGUCUGAGGUAGUGAGACUGGCUUCUAGCCUUAGAAACUCACCUUUUUUGUUUUGCUUUUUGUUUUUAAUUUUUUUUUUAAGUUGAUUUAUUUGAACAAUCUCUAUACCACACGUGGAGCACGAACUCACUACCUCAAGGUCAGGAGCUGUACAUGUUCCACCGACUGAGCCAGCCAGGCACCCCUCACUUUUGUUUCUAUUCUGGCCAAAGCAGGUUUUCCUAGCAAAUUUUAAGACUUGAAAAAAGAAAUGGAAACUGCGUAUAGGGAGAGAAAUACCUUAUGCUGCGGUUUGCCUUUAGACAGUACAUGACAUAUAACUGGAACCCACGUGCCAUACCUUGGAUUUCACACAGAAAACCAAGAGAGUUUCUAUCAACUUCAGAAAAAUAGGCAAGGUAUUAAUAAAUAGUUGUUUCUCAUAAUCUGUAGCAAGAAGGAAGACUAAAGUUUUUCUUAUUUCUUGUUGACUAAACUGGCAGGUUUAUGAAAUUUUCAGUUCUGAGACAUUUAACACAGAUGUGUUUUUUAUUGUCUGUUGCGAUCUGAACCAAAACCAGACAGGUGCUCCCUUAGCACCAAGAGCCUCAUAUUCCAUACACAGACCCUCACCUGUCUUUGUCCAUCACACAGAAGGAAAAGGGGAAACUGGCGGCAAUCUUCUCAAACUCUUCCUGAGAAAUGUAUCCAUCCUGGUCAUGAUCAUAGUUCUUGAAGACCGACUGUGAAAAAAGGAGUUUCUCUGGUGAUUACCAAAGCGAAACCGGUCGUUUCUCCCUUCAGCCAAAUGACAAAGGGUUGAGCAUCUGAUAAAAGCCUCUCCUCAGCCUGAAUGAAAGGACACGGUUCCCUCAGGUCCAUUUGUGUACCAAUCGUGCCGUCUGCCCGGUGCCUGCGUGCUCCUAGCUCACUGCACAGGGGUGUCCCCCUCUGCUCUGCCCCCCUUCCACUGCUUCUGUGAACAGCCCAGCUGCAAGUGCUCCCUGCCCUGUAGUCCUCUACUAAUUAUUCUGACACGUACUGGCUCUCACUUUUCUGUUAUGCUGGAUUGGUCCAUAAGGAUGAAUAUAGACACACACUCUCCUCAGCAGUUAACCAUGAAGAGAAUCAGGAGGGCCAAAUUUGCAGUAUUAGAUUCUCCUUAUUAUCCUUAUUUCUACUAAAACCCUUCUACCACCUCUCUGCCCCCAAAUCCACUGCUAUGCUCUCCUGCUUGGUCUCUGAGAGGAGACACACACCCCCCUGCAACAGGAGGUCAAAGCGUGUUGGCAAAACGUAACCUAUGAACUGUCCUGCAGGCACAAUAUGAGGUGUGCGCUAGGAACAAGUGUCAGGUUUCCCACCUUUGCGCGUCUGCCACCGUGUCCCCCAGGCCGCAUACAGAACUAUGCCAGUUUGUAUGUGCCUUGCUUCCGUCUGCUGGAGCACAGCUGUACUUACAUCCACCAUCCUCUGGACGUGUUUGCUUAUGGUCUUUGGGUCAGGUUUGGGAGAUACUCCAGAAGCCCAGUCCACUACUACUGGAGGCUUUGAGGGUGUUAGUGGCUGAAAUGAAAUAUUCAGAGAAAUCCCUGUGACUAUAAAGCACUACAACCAGCAGCAACUUCCUUUCCCGCUACCUGAUGGCUGCAUCUAUGGACAGCCCUCAACUAUGUGCCAGGGCCAGGAACUGAGAGCCGGUGGAACUGAAAUCUUGAGCUCUAAUCCUGGCUAAUAACAACUGUUGUGCUUCAUAGCUGACAAAAUGCUUCUCACGUAUAUUAUCUCCAUCUACAGAUAAUUUAAACUUACCCAUUAGACUUUCUGUCAAACUGUCAGCAAAAGACUGGAUCAUUUAAAUUUUCUCUCUGUUCUCUACUUACUGGUUAAUAAAGAUGUGGAUGAGGAGAAAAACAGCUAAAAGGCAGGAUAACACAAGGAAGAAAGCCUGAGGCCUGGACAAGGGGAGAUGGAAUCCAUUCCUAAAUAUUUGAGACUUGACCGAAAUGGAGGAAGGUACCCUUUCCAUGGAAAUGCCUCUAACACCCUGAAAGUGGAACCUGCUAAGUAUUUUCAGUGAACAGCUUUCAUUAGAGUAGGAGCUAGAACUUGAUCUUUCGGUUGUAGAGACCGUAUCAUGUAGCCACCUGAACAGACAAAUUGAAUUUCUUAUGUGUGGAUAACUCUCUCCCCUGAGUACUAUCUGGGGACUGGGCAGCUUCCCUGGAGACUGCAGGGGAAUUCUGGUCCUUCACAAGGAAAACUGAAAUUUUCACCUGCCUGUACGGGAGGUGGGGCAAGACAACCUGUGUAGAUCCUUCCUUGCAGCACCAGGACUGCACUGGUGUGAGGACUUGUCAGCACAAGAGGUCAAAAGACCCAGGAGACUGUCCUUUCUGACCCAGAUGAAUACAGGAUGAUCUCUAUGGCUUUACUAAGUAGUAUACACUUAUCAUCAAAAAAUCAGAGAAGAGAAACGAAUGAUGUGAGGAUACUUUAUAAUAGGAAGGAGAUGUCACUAUGGCCCGCGACACCAUCUCCCUCCUCAGUAAACCACUGACUGACUGCACCUGUCAUUUGGAUGUGCUUAGGGCAUAUAUUUACAGUUCCUGUAUUAGUCUCAUCCCUUCAAGUAGACUGCAGGCUCUUUCUGGCCAAGAAUUACUUGUACAUAUGGUGAAGUUUUCUCUGUGCCUAGCACAAGGUUGGGCAGAGUGGAAACACAGUACUUAUCACAUAAAGAUUUGUUCCUUAAGAUGAUGAGCUCGAUGAGCAACUUGGAAAGCACCUGUUACAUGCAGCAAUCUUAGCAUAAAAAUAUGAACAACUCACUGGGGCUUUGUGGUUCCUUGGUUCCCGGGCAUAGGACAGCUCAUAGAUUUCAUCUUCAGUGUAGUAGAGAUCUAAGGACAACUGCAGAUCAAAACAGAACAGGGUUAACUGCUAGGAUGUUGUUUGCCUUUCCCAGGGUUGAUGGGUUUCUUUCUUGGUACCUCCUCCUCUCCUGUUGUUUAUUUACUCUUCUAGGCUCUUUGUUUUUAAGAUUCACAAAGCUUAGAGGGCGUAACACUUGGUACUGCAAUAAGGCAAACAUUAGCUCCUUAUUAAAAUGUUUUAAAUUUUGGAGAA